GAUGAACGCUGGCGGCGUGCCUAAUACAUGCAAGUCGAGCGAACAGAUGAGGAGCUUGCUCCUCUGACGUUAGCGGCGGACGGGUGAGUAACACGUGGAUAACCUACCUAUAAGACUGGGAUAACUUCGGGAAACCGGAGCUAAUACCGGAUAAUAUAUUGAACCGCAUGGUUCAAUAGUGAAAGACGGUUUUGCUGUCACUUAUAGAUGGAUCCGCGCCGCAUUAGCUAGUUGGUAAGGUAACGGCUUACCAAGGCAACGAUGCGUAGCCGACCUGAGAGGGGGAUCGGCCACACUGGAACUGAGACACGGUCCAGACGCCUAAGGGAGGCAGCAGUAGGGAAUCUUACGCAAUGGGCGAAAGCCUGACGGAGCAACGCCGCGUGAGUGAUGAAGGUCUUCGGAUCGUAAAACUCUGUUAUUAGGGAAGAACAAAUGUGUAAGUAACUAUGCACGUCUUGACGGUACCUAAUCAGAAAGCCACGGCUAACUACGUG
rnacentral:rRNA from 1 species